AAAUUUUGAAGCUAAGUAAUGUUUGUGUAGUUUUCAGCUAGAACAUUAUCGAAAAUUAAGUGAAAACUAAGUUUGUAGAAAGCUUUUAUUUCAGUCGUUUGGACGAGGGUUCGAAUCCCUCCGACUCCACCA
rnacentral:tmRNA from 1 species